UACGUAGGUGGCAAGCGUUGUCCGGAUUUACUGGGCGUAAAGAGCGCGCAGGCGGUCGUUCAAGUCGCGUGUGAAAGCCCCCGGCUCAACUGGGGAGGGUCACGCGAUACUGAUCGACUCGAAGGCAGGAGAGGGAUGCGGAAUUCCAGGUGUAGCGGUGAAAUGCGUAGAUAUCUGGAGGAACACCGGUGGCGAAGGCGGCAUCCUGGACCGAGAUUGACGCUGAUGCGCGAAAGCCAGGGGAGCAAACAGG
rnacentral:rRNA from 1 species